ACUGCCAUACAACAUUGAAAACACCGGUUCUCGUCCGAUUACCGAAGUUAAGCAAUGUUGGGCCCGGUCAGUAUUUGGGAGGGUGACCACCUGGGAACACCGGGUGCUGUAGGCU
rnacentral:rRNA from 1 species